rnacentral:rRNA from 1 species
AUUGAACGCUGGCGGAAUGCUUUACACAUGCAAGUCGAACGGCAGCACGGGAGCUUGCUCCUGGUGGCGAGUGGCGAACGGGUGAGUAAUGCGUCGGAACGUACCGAGUAAUGGGGGAUAACGCAGCGAAAGCUGUGCUAAUACCGCAUACGCCCUGAGGGGGAAAGUGGGGGAUCGCAAGACCUCACGUUAUUCGAGCGGCCGACGUCUGAUUAGCUAGUUGGUGGGGUAAAGGCCUACCAAGGCGACGAUCAGUAGCGGGUCUGAGAGGAUGAUCCGCCACACUGGAACUGAGACACGGUCCAGACUCCUACGGGAGGCAGCAGUGGGGAAUUUUGGACAAUGGGGGCAACCCUGAUCCAGCCAUUCCGCGUGUCUGAAGAAGGCCUCGGUUGU